ACUUAAAUUGAAGAGUUUGAUCAUGGCUCAGAUUGAACGCUGGCGGCAGGCCUAACACAUGCAAGUCGGGCGGUAGCACAGAGAGCUUGCUCUCGGGUGACGAGCGGCGGACGGGUGAGUAAUGUCUGGGAAACUGCCUGAUGGAGGGGGAUAACUACUGGAAACGGUAGCUAAUACCGCAUAACGUCGCAAGACCAAAGAGGGGGACCUUCGGGCCUCUUGCCAUC
rnacentral:rRNA from 2 species